AUGAUAGCUCUCAGACUCCGGCUGACUCUUGUGUCCCAGACCCGGCACAGUCCACUCUGGAUCAUCUGUGCGGCGCGAAGAGCAGUCACACUCAUCAGGACCACGUCAUCACAGCGUCCUUGUUUGCUCUCUGUCCUCGCAUGGUCACGGAGAGCUCAAGAUCCCAGCUCUGUGUUUCAGGAAGAGAAAGACUCUCAAGUGCAGUUAUAUCUUUAUGGCCGUCUCACUGGGGUUGCAGAGGAAGAGACUGGGGUUCCCACAGGUCUGGAAAGACCUGGUAGGAGGUGGUGCAGUACGCUGGGGAGUGGCUGCGUCUUUGUGGCCAGAAAGCCUGGUGAGCAAGAGGGGCCGCUUCCCAGCUUUGUCGGCCUCAUCUCCUCACCUAGGGGGUGAUGCCGCUGAGGCUUUUGUGAUCAGAUGGGAUAGGGAAUGCGAAAGCGAAAGCAAUAUAUAAACUAAAAGCACUCCACCAGGGAUUUUAGAUUUUUGUUUCAAAAAGACUGGGAUUCCUCAGGAGACUCUCACCAAGAGAGAAGAAAUUACUGAACUGGCUUCCUGGCUGCCUACCUCUAGUUCAACCAGGGAAGUUUAGCUUUUAUUAGAGUUUUGUGUAUGAUUUAAUUCAAAGAAAAGGGGUUCAGUAAGCCUUAAAAAUCGGAAAAUUGGGUGCACCUGGGUGGCUCAGUGGUUGAGCAUCAGCCUUUGGCUCAGAUCGUGAUUCCCACAGUCCUGGGAUCGAGUCCCACAUCCAACUCCCUGCAUCAACCUGCUUCUCCCUCUGCCUAUCUCUGCUUCUCUCUCUGUGUCUCUCAUGCAUAAAUAAAUAAAUUAUUUUUAAAAAAUUGGAAAACUGA
rnacentral:lncRNA from 12 species